UUGUUGCGCAAGCCGUCGCUGCUUCCCAGCCAGGCUGCGUCCUUCCUUCACUCGUUCUCCUUUACUCUUUUGCUCCUCUUUACUUCUUGCGGAAGUCAGUCACCACCGUUGCAGCCUCGCCGCCAGCCACGACCACCUGCCGCCGCGUGCACCAGCCAUUGCCGCCGGCCAGCCUUCCCUUGAAUCUUUAUUUGGCGGAGAAUUCUCCCUAGGUGACUUUUGAAAGUGUUAAAGUGGCCUAUUAGUUUGUCUACACAAGUCUCUAAGGAUCAAUAAGCAUUGUCCAUCUGCAGGUUUGAAGAUGUUGCAUCAUUGGGAUCGGGAAUAGAGAGCUUGUAUUUAGUUUUGAUUUGCUAAGUUGACUUGGG